rnacentral:rRNA from 1 species
AUUGAACGCUGGCGGCAGGCUUAACACAUACAAGUCGAGCGGGGAAGGGUAGCUUGCUACCUGACCUAGCGGCGGACGGGUGAGUAAUGCUUAGGAAUCUGCCUAUUAGUGGGGGACAACAUUCCGAAAGGAAUGCUAAUACCGCAUACGCCCUACGGGGGAAAGCAGGGGAUCUUCGGACCUUGCGCUAAUAGAUGAGCCUAAGUCAGAUUAGCUAGUUGGUGGGGUAAAGGCCUACCAAGGCGACGAUCUGUAGCGGGUCUGAGAGGAUGAUCCGCCACACUGGGACUGAGACACGGCCCAGACUCCUACGGGAGGCAGCAGUGGGGAAUAUUGGACAAUGGGCGAAAGCCUGAUCCAGCCAUGCCGCGUGUGUGAAGAAGGCCUUUUGGUUGUAAAGCACUUUAAGCGAGGAGGAGGCUGCCGAGAUUAAUACUCUUGGAUAGUGGACGUUACUCGCAGAAUAAGCACCGGCUAACUCUGUGCCAGCAGCCGCGGUAAUACAGAGGGUGCGAGCGUUAAUCGGAUUUACUGGGCGUAAAGCGUGCGUAGGCGGCUUUUUAAGUCGGAUGUGAAAUCCCUGAGCUUAACUUAGGAAUUGCAUUCGAUACUGGGAAGCUAGAG